GAAAAAAAUCCUGCCCAAAUAGCAAAGUUAAUACUUACAAGGAUCUCUAACAAGUUUGACAAAUGUAAUAACUGCUCUGCUACAGAACACAGUGGAUGUGAGAAGAUUCAGAAGCCAGCACGUAACAAGCUACAGAUAUUGAGAAAUGAUGAGAAGAAAACAGCUGUAGAAAUGUCUGAGGUGUUUUUUUCCAGUGCAGUGGAGGUAUCUGAUCAAGUGGCUGCAGUUCAUUGCAUGCAGUUUCUGGAGCCUGGAAGUAGAGAGGUUUUCUAGACACAAG